ncrna:unclassified sequences eL15-Euryarchaeota ribosomal protein leader
CGGGAUUAGUUCCCGUUGGAGUGUGACCCUGCAGACAGGGUUGAACCGUGAA